rnacentral:rRNA from 1 species
UGUCCAGACUCCUACGGGAGGCAGCAGUGGGGAAUAUUGGACAAUGGGGGGAACCCUGAUCCAGCGACGCCGCGUGAGUGAAGAAGUAUUUCGGUAUGUAAAGCUCUAUCAGCAGGGAAGAAAGAAAUGACGGUACCUGACUAAGAAGCCCCGGCUAACUACGUGCCAGCAGCCGCGGUAAUACGUAGGGGGCAAGCGUUAUCCGGAUUUACUGGGUGUAAAGGGAGCGUAGACGGCGAUGCAAGCCAGGAGUGAAAGCCCGGGGCCCAACCCCGGGACUGCUCUUGGAACUGCGUGGCUAGAGUGCAGGAGGGGCAGGCGGAAUUCCUGGUGUAGCGGUGAAAUGCGUAGAUAUUAGGAGGAACACCAGUGGCGAAGGCGGCCUGCUGGACAGAGACUGACGUUGAGGCUCGAAAGCGUGGGGAGCAAACAGGAUUAGAUACCCGUGUACA